UCAGAAAGGCACAGGGGAGGCAUAAUAAGGAUUCUAAGAAUUACAGCCCUGGGGCCACAAUGAGUGCUGGUCGAGGCUUGACUGUUUUGUUAACCAUUUUGGUUGCUGUUGCAAAAGCAGAAACUAUGGCAACGACAACAGAAACUACGGCAACGACAACAGAAACUGCGGCUCCAACAACUGGUUCAACUGCAGUAACAACAACAGAAACUGCGGCAACAACAACAACAACAGAAACUGCGGCUACAACAACUGGUUCAACUGCAUCAAUAACAACAGAAACUGCGGCUACAACAACUGGUUCAACAGCAGUAACAACAACAGAAACUGCAGCAACAACAACAACAGAAACUGCAUCGACAACAACUGGUUCAACUGCAGUAACAACAACAGAAACUGCGGCAACAACAACUGGUUCAACUGCAGUAACGACAACAGAAACUGCGGCAACAACAACAACAGAAACUGCGGCUACAACAACUGGUUCAACUGCAUCAAUAACAACAGAAACUGUGGCAACAACAACUGGUUCAACUGCAAUAACAACAACAGAAACUGCGGCAACAACAACAGAAACUGCGGCGACAACAACUGGUUCAACUGCAGUAACAACAACAGAAACUGCGGCUACAACAACUGGUUCAACUGCAUCAAUAACAACAGAAACUGCGGCAACAACAACUGGUUCAACUGCAAUAACAACAACAGAAACUGCGGCAACAACAACAGAAUCUGCAGCAACAACAACAACUGGUUCAACAACACCUGCUUCAACUGCGGCAACAACAACAACUGGUUCAACUGCAGCAGCAACAACAGAAACUGCGGCAACAACAACAGAAUCUGCAGCAACAACAACUGGUUCAACAACACCUGCUUCAACUGCGGCAACGACAACUGGUUCAACUGCAGCAACAACAACAGAAACUGCGGCAACAAUAACUGGUUCAACUGCCCCAACAGUAACAGAAACUGCGUCUACAACAACUGGUUCAACUGCAUCAAUAACAACAGAAACUGCGGCAACAACAACUGGUUCAACUGCAGCAACAACAACAGAAGCUGCAGCAACAACAACUGGUUCAACAACACCUGCUUCAACAGCAGCAACAACAACUGGUUCAACUGCGGCAGUAACAACACCUGGUUCAACUGCGGCAACAACAACAACUGGUUCAACAACAGUAACAACAACUGGUUCAACUGCAACAACAACACCUGGUUCAACAACAACACCUGGAUCAAAAACAGCAACAACAACUGGUUCAACAGCAGCAACAAUAACACCUAAUGCAACAACAACACCUGGAUCAACAACAACUGGUUCAACUGCGGAAACGACAACAGAAUCUGUGGCAACAACAACAAGUGGUUCAACAAUAGUAACAACAACUGGUUCAACUGCGUCAACAACACCAGAAACCGGAUCAUCAAGAACACCUGGAUCAACAACAACUGGUUCAACUGCGGCAACGACAACAGAAACUGCGGCAACAACAACAACUGGUUCAACUGCAUCAACAACAAUACCAGAAACUGUAUCAACAAAAACACCUGGUUCAGCGACAACUGGUUCAACAGCAGCAACAACAACACCUGGUUCAACAAAAACACCUGGCUCAACAACAACUGGUUCAACUGCAGCAACACCAACAGAAUCUGCGGCAACAACAACUGGGUCAACAGCGGCAACAACAACACCUGGUUCAACAGCAGCAGCAACAACACCUGGUUCAACAACAACACCUGGAUCAACAACAACUGGUUCAACAGCGGCAACAACAACACCUGGUUCAACAACAACAACUGGAUCAACAACAACUGGUUCAACUCCAAAAAACACAACACUUGUUUCAACAACAACUGGUUCAACACCAGCAACAACAACUGGUUCAACAACAGUAACAACAACUGGUUCAACUGCGGCAACAACAACACCUGCUUCAAUAACAACACCUGGAUCAACAACUACUGUUUCAACUGCGGAAACGACAACACAAUCUGCGGCAACAACAACAAAUAGUUCAACAACAGUAACAACAACUGGUUCAACUGCGGCAACAACAACGCCUGUUUCAACAACAACUGGUUCAACUGCUUCAACAACAACGCCUGUUUCAAAAACAACUGGUUCAACAGCAGCAACAACAACUGGUUCAACAACAGCAACAACAACUGGUUCAACUGCGGCAACAACGCCUGGUUCAACAACAACUGGUUCAACUCCAACAAACACAACACUUGUUUCAACAACAACUGGUUCAACACCAGCAACAACAACUGGUUCAACAACAGUAACAACAACUGGUUCAACAGCGGCAACAACAACACCUGUUUCAACGACAACUGGUUCAACACCAGCAACAACAACACCUGCUUCAAUAACAACACCUGGAUUAACAACUACUGUUUCAACUGCGGCAACGACAACACAAUCUGCGGCAACAACAACAAAUGGUUCAACACCAGCAACAACAACUGGUUCAACAGCAGCAGUAACAACAAAUGGUUCAACUGUGGCAACAACAGAAAAAACGACGAUGACGACGACGACGACGAGAACAACAACAACAACAACAACAACAACAACAACAACAACAACAACAACAACAACAACAACAACAACAGCAGCAGCAGUGGCGGUAGUUCGUACACCAGUUGUUGUUCUUGCAGCAGUUUUGGUUAAACCCUUUGUGCCUCAACUCAAAGAUAAAACUAGUCCAGAAUUUAUAGCACUUGCGACAGAAGUGGUAGUAGUGUAUGAAGUCAUCUAUAGAGCUCGAUAUGGUUUGCUUUUCAGCCGUGUUAUUGUCAUAGCAUUCAGACAAGCUGGGACCAGAACACGAGCAUCUGAUACUGAAGCAGAAGUGCAGGUUGUGUUUAACAACACAAUAACACCUGCACAAAUCCCAGAAGCUGAAGCUGUUCAACAAACCUUAGUUGAAGCGGUGUCUAACCCCAACAACACUUUCAACAUCAGUAUCAGUCCAGCAUCUGUCGUAGCAACCCAAAUAAACAUUUUUACAAAGCUGUUGCGGUUCGCAUCGGUUGGAGAGACAUUUACAGCUGACUUGCUGAUCUCAUCAUCUCCAGCAUUUAAAAAUAGAUCAUCACUGAUAGUGACAACACUUGAACCGAUCUACAAUAAAACAUUUUCUUCAUACAACUCAAUGGAAGUGACUGGAUUCCGAAAUGGAUCCAUCAUCACUGACAUCUACAUUCAGUUUGCAUCUACAUCAGCGCCAAAUAACACUGACAUUGAAAAUGUUCUGAUCAAUGCAGCUCCAAACAUAACAGCCUUCAACAUUACCAAUGUUGUUGUCAGUGACCCAGUGGCUUCAACUACAACAACAAUGACUGCACCUACAAACGCAACCACAGCAAACCUUACAAACACCACACCAGGAACAAAUACAACUACAGUGUCUACAACAGCUUCAAGUACACCUGUGAACGCUACAACACCAAUCAUCACUACCCCAACAAACGCAACCACAGUUUCUCCUACAACCACUACAACUGUAACAACUACAAUUGUUGAGGCUGUUACAACAAAGCAGUUGCAGUUCAGAGAUGUUGGAGCAACAUUUACACCUGACUUAGAGAACUCAUCAUCUUCAGCAUUUACAGAAAGAGCCAGACAGACAGUGUUAACACUCGAACCUUUCUACAAGACAACAUUUCCUUCAUUCCGCUCAAUGAGAGUGAUCAGAUUCAGAAAUGGAUCCAUCAUCAGUGACGUUGAUAUUGACUUUGCAUCUAUAUCAGUGCCUAAUAACACUGAGAUUGCAAAUGUUUUGAUCAAUGCAGCUCCAAACAUAACGACCUUCAACAUUAGCAAAGAGUCUGUUAUUGUCAGUGACCCAGUGGUUUUACCUACAACUGUGAGCACUACAACACCAAUGAUGACUACCCCUACAAACGCAACCAUAGCAAAUCUAACAAACACCACACCAGGAACAAAUACAAGUACAGUGUCUACAACAGCUUCAACUACACCUGUGAAUGCUAUAACACCAAUGAUGACUACCCUUACAAACGCAACCACAGCAAAUCUUACAAACACCACACCAGGAACAAAUACAACUACAGUGUCUACAACAGCUUCAACUACACCUGUGAAUGCUACAACACCAAUGAUGACUACCCCUACAAACGCAACCACAGCAAAUCUUACAAACACCACACCAGGAACAAAUACAACUACAGUGUCUACAACAGCUUCAACUACACCUGUGAAUGCUACAACACCAAUCAUCACUACCCCAACAAACGCAUCCACAGUUACUCCUACAACCACUACAACUGUAAGAACUACAACUAUUGAGGCUGUUACAACAAAGCAGUUGCAGUUCAGAGAUGUUGGAGCAACAUUUACACCUGACUUAGAGAACUCAUCAUCUUCAGCAUUUACAGAAAGAGCCAGACAGACAGUGUUAACACUCGAACCUUUCUACAAGACAUUUCCUUCAUUCCGCUCAAUGAGAGUGAUCAGAUUCAGAAAUGGAUCCAUCAUCAGUGACGUUGAUAUUGACUUUGCAUCUAUAUCAGUGCCUAAUAACACUGAGAUUGAAAAUGUUUUGAUCAAUGCAGCUCCAAACAUAACGACCUUCAACAUUAGCACAGAGUCUGUUAUUGUCAGUGACCCAGCGACUCCUACAACCACUUUGACUGCAACAACUACAACUACAGCGACUCCUACAACCACUACAACUGCAGCAACUACAACUGCAGCAACUGCAACUACAGCAACUCCCACAACCACUAAAGCUGUAACAACUACAACUGCUGAGCCAGUACAAAAAAAGGCAGUGCAAUUCAGAUCUGUUAAUGGGAUAUUUAUAACUGACUUGCUGACAUCAUCAUCCACAGCUUUUAAAGAACGAGCUUCACUGAUAGAGACAGCACUUAAACCUUUCUACCUGGCCAGAUUUCCUUCAUUCCGCUCCAUCAAUGUGACUGCAUUCAGUAAGGGAUCCAUUAUCAAUAACAUGGACAUUGGAUUUGCAAUGUCACUGGUCCCUAAUGCAAAAGAGAUUGCACAAGUUUUGAUUGAUGCAGCCAAGAUAACACCCUUCGACAUUGAUAUCAGUUCUAUUCUUGUGGACGGCAUAUUGUCACAUGGAGUGAGCCACAAGAUCAGUCUCCUCACUGCUUCCUGUAUGGUGCUGCUGUCAUGGCUCCUGUCAGGCCAGCAAUAACAUCUGCGCUGAUGCUCUUGUGAAAUAACUUGAGGAAAUGUCUCCUGUGACUGGGUAUGAAAAAGGACUUUGUUCCAACUGAAAAUCCACGAGGAGCUUCUGAUGAAGAGCAAUCAUACCAUGAUUUAGAAGUAGCUAAAACUGAAAUUAACCUUUAUGUUAUCUAUCAAUAUAAACUUUAACAUAAUUUCCAACAAAGGUGUCAUUGGUUGUCAAUUUAUAAUGUAAGUCCUGUGAUAAAGUCAUACUGUAAGUUAUUAAUAUCAAUGAGAUCAAGUUUUAAUCCAUGAAGCAUCUCCUCAGCUUCUGACUCUGAGAGUGAAAAAAAAUGAAAGUGAUAAUCAGGAAAUCAUCACCUCACCUGGCAUUCAUGAAAUAUAAGAUGUGUGAAAAUGUCCUCUUUGGUCACCUUUACCAGUCAAUAUUUAAAUAUAUUUCUUGUAUAUAUUGUAUUCUAUUAUUGUAUGUAUUCUGUUUGUAUUGUAUUGGAUAAUUAUGGUAAAAAUUCUAAGUGAUCCUGAUACACACAUUUAAAAUUAUUUAAAGAACUGUCCCUAUAAAAAAAUAUAAUAUUAAUAUCACCUUUUUCUUUCUGAAGCAGGUUCUUCACAAGUCUAUCAUGAUAAACUAAAGAAGCGUCAAUUAAAGACAUUGAACAAACCCUGCCUAUCUUGAUUUUUAAAUAUACUACUCUAAUCAACUACUCUAAUUUUUCUUUUCAAAAAAUUGAUUAGGAAAUACUAUCAUAGCACUCUUAAGACCCCUUCAUAGAUUUUUGAUACAAGUAAAACUAAAUCUAAUUCUAAUAAUU
ensembl:lncRNA